AUUGAACGCUGGCGGCAGGCCUAACACAUGCAAGUCGAACGAGUGGCGGACGGGUGAGUAAUGUCUGGGAAACUGCCUGAUGGAGGGGGAUAACUAAUGGAAACGGUCGCUAAUACCGCAUACCAUCAUAUGUGCCCAGAUGGGAUUAGCUAGUUGGUGGGGUAACGGCUCACCAAGGCGACGAUCCCUAGCGGGCCUGAGAGGAUGACCAGCCACACUGGGACUGAGACACGGUCCAGACUCCUACGGGAGGCAGCAGUGGGGAAUAUUGCGCAAUGGGCGCAAGCCUGAUGGAGCCAUGCCGCGUGUAUGAAGAAGGCCUUCGGGUUGUAAAGUACUUUCAGCGGGGAGGCGGUACCCGAAGAGAAAGCACCGGCUAACUCGGUGCCAGCAGCCGCGGUAAUUC
rnacentral:rRNA from 1 species